rnacentral:rRNA from 1 species
AUACGUAGGGGGCGAGCGUUGUCCGGAAUGAUUGGGCGUAAAGGGCGCGUAGGCGGCCCGGUAAGUCUGGAGUGAAAGUCCUGCUUUUAAGGUGGGAAUUGCUUUGGAUACUGUCGGGCUUGAGUGCAGGAGAGGUAAGUGGAAUUCCCAGUGUAGCGGUGAAAUGCGUAGAGAUUGGGAGGAACACCAGUGGCGAAGGCGACUUACUGGACGGUAACUGACGCUGAGGCGCGAAAGUGUGGGGAGCAAACAGGAUUAGAUACCCUGGUAGUCCGCACAGUAAACGGUGAAUACUUGUUUUCGGCGAUAUAAUGUCGGAGGCAAAGCGAAAGCGAUAAGUAUUCCACCUGGGGAGUACGCCGGCAACGGUGAAACUCAAAUGAAUUGGCGGGU